GGCACUGUGGCUUACAGGGUAAAGCCGCCACCUACCAUGCCAGCAUCCAUAUGGACCCUGGUUCGAGUCCUGGCUGUGCCA
rnacentral:tRNA from 1 species